GCCAGAGCCCAGGCCCUUGGAGCCAGUGCGGUGCCUGCCUCCGUGGUCUGGGUUUUGCGGGCAGCCAGAGCUGUAUUUCCAGCGCUGUUGGCCCUCUCACCGUCUGAUCCGAGCUGGAGCAGUGGGGGGCGCCCCACGGGAUCAGAGGCUCCCCUACCGGACUCAGCUCCUCACAUCCUCCUGCUGGGACCCGGCUACAUUUCCAGCCAAGCCUGGCUUUAUUAUGUGUCUCUGCAGUGCAGCCCCAGCAGCCGGAUUGGGAGGAAGAGAGCCAGCGACCACAAAGAAGACACGAGCGCAGGGAGGCUGGCGGGCAGGACGGCAUUGGCUGCGGCUAGAGAGCGGAGGAGCUGGGGCGCAGCCGCUGCUGCCUCCACCGCUGCCGCCUGCUCUUCCUCCUCCUCUGCCACCUCGGCCGCCGCCUCCCCCCUCUCAGAGCCCCUGGCCCACGGAGGCAGCUAGCAGGCCGGCGACUUGGCAUCGCCUGGGGUUAGGCUGCGCACCUCUCGCUGAGCACCGCAGCCCAAGGGCAGGCAGCCGCGCCCCGGCGCCUGGGCAGAGCGAUGCCUGGGGCAUGGGUGUGCCUGCCGGCUGCCGCCUGAGCGCCUCCGAGCGCCACUUCCUCCUCUGGGGGGCCGGCGCCAGACUG
rnacentral:lncRNA from 1 species